CAAAUUCUUUAGAACUUCAGAGUCAGUAGAGCGGCUAAACUAUCAAACCCUUUGUGUGUAUAAACCGGAUAUACCAGCCUCAACUUUCCACCCGGACAUACCAGAUUUAGGUGAGAGAUUCUUUGGGCUUCGAUUUGUAUGAAUCAUCAUCUGGUGUUUGAUUUAUGGGGGAUUUUUUGUAGAUCUCAAAGUUGUUUUGCCACCUACUGACGCAGUUUCGGCUGGCAUUCCGCAGAAAUUCAUUAGAGAAACAGCCUUUAUCUGGAGCACAUGCAUUGUCGUCAUAUGUUUGCCGAUAAGGUAGCUGUUCUCCCCACCCUGAGAUACAUUUUUUAUGAAUGAAACAGAAGUAGCCUCAGGCGAUCGAAACGAACGUAAAUUGAGGAUGUGAGUCAUGCUGGAGCCCAGGGGCAGGCAAUGGCAUUUAUAUAUGGCAUAUAUAUAUGCUGGCAUCUCAGUCUUAAUUUGUAUCUCAAAGAUAUCCCAGAGCACUUGCAGAUACAGAUAUGCAAACAGCAGCAAUCUAGCAAACAAAUAAGCAAACAAACACCAGAGUCGUGACAAAAACAAUAGUUGUUCUCUUAUAAUUUGCAUUUUGGUCUUAGAUUCCGUUUGCUCUGCACGUAUCUGAGUAUCUUUCCACCUGCCCGCUUGGCCUGGCCUUUCGGUUGUAUUGAUAAGAAAAUUAGUUGCCCAAGCAAAUGCCAGGGAAGACAACUUAUCGGCUUUGUCCGGCCCCAGGCGCUGGCCCGGCCCCCGGGCUGGCAUUCCCGGGCCAAAAUUCUCGCAAAAUUAAUUAUAAUCAAGCUUUGCGAGAGUGCUUAUUGAACGUGCUGAAUUAUUAAUUAUUUAUUGGUGUUUAGCAAAGAUAUAUUGAAUGAAUGCCAGCAGGCCCGAGAGGUUCCACACAUUUGCCCAGACAAUUGGAAAACAUAACGAAGAGGCAAUCAAUGUUUAAUUAAGGCUAUAUGUAGUUGGGCAGAACUAUUAGAGACCUUUGGAAAGAGCCUCUAUAGGAAGAUGGACUUGUUUUGUGCAGGGUUUGCAUUGAAGAAAGCCUUCAGUUAUAGAUCCUUCUUAUAGCUUCAAUGCCAGUCUCCAUCGACAAACCGAUUAACGUGAGAUUCAACCCAUGGAAAGCUUGAAUAUUCGUGGUACACAUUACCUCCAGUUGUAAUGCCGAAAGAGGAAGGAGAUCCAAAAACUCAAGGCCUUGAGAAAGGGCCUUUCAAAUGGUGUACAGGAUAUGGCUUCAUCUGAGGGUUUUGCACGACAUAGAGGCACCCUAAACACAUCAUUCGCCCUGCACUACGUUUCCUCUACUCCUCUAAUUUAUUGGCUUUUAAAUACCUAAUAUUUCAGGGCUUUUCUGUACCUUUUCAACCUCUUGCGAGGGCCCUGGCGAUGGAGUACUUUUUAGUUCUGGGGCCACCUUAAAAUACAUGAUAUUCCAAGACUUGCCUUGAAAAUACUUAUACCUGGUAAAGGGGCACCCUCUUCCUCGUUGGAUCGCCCCUCUUCUACCCUGAUUCGCACCCUUUGUGCAACCGCAAAUGCAAGUCAAGUUGAAAUGAAAGAAAUUUCCAUAAUUAGCGUUAAUUGCUGCUUAGUUGUGCAAAUAGAACACAAACCGAAAGGGAAAGUGGGCGAGGGAGAGCUAAGGGGGGGCCUGGACGGGUCUGAGAAAAGAGUGCGGUUUACUCCUCUCCUCCCCCCCCGCCCCACCAAGCGAGAACAGUGCAGCGGCAUUUUGUGAGUCAUCAAAGAGAAAAGUGAACAGCUUGCGGUCCAAAGGGGGGCAGAGUGGGGGGUGAAACCUCAAGUGACCGCCAUUCCCAGUGCUAUCCGGCACCCAGCUCCCAGCUCUCGACCGUUUUUGCGCCCCUCUGUUUGCCAGGGGCAACCACCUCCAUUUACUGCGGAAAAGUGAAUGGCAACCUGGGCCGACCAGUGGAUAAUUUGUGGCAAGUGCUGCACGGCCACUCCCUGUACACUCCAUUCCAUUGCACGGCCCCUCAAAAGAGCGAGAAUCAAACACACACACACCCCAUGAAAUGUCAAAGAGGUUGGAGUUGGAGUUGGAGCCACUUUCGGCCCCACAAAUUUUCGCACAAAGUUUGAUCAAAAAAGCAAACAUUUAUCAAUUGAAAUUUGCUCGGACAAAUCGAAAAAAAGGCAUAGGGUAGGGAGGGGAGCGGGGGAGUAGAUAUCGCUGAUAUGAGUCGGCAGAGUAGAGAGGCUGCUGCUCCCCUUUUGGAGAGGGGAGUUUCUCUAGGGAAACCUAGAGAAAAGUAGUCAAACAAAGACUAUGUUUUGGGGGCCUCAAUAUCUAUCAAAAAUCAAAAACUUCUCAAGAGUUCUACAACUGCAAUGUAAUAAACCCUUGAGACUUCCUUUUGGCAUCACUUGUAAUGGUUCCAGAGGCAAGGAGUAUCCCCUUUCCACCCCAAAGUAGAGCAUCAAAGUUGUCGGUUCGAUCGACUGCCCCAAAAGCAAUCCAUCGAACGAGUCUUUGAGUCGUUGUCUCUUGGUUUUUGGGUGCGGCGUGUG
rnacentral:sRNA from 1 species